rnacentral:rRNA from 1 species
GAUGAACGCUGGAGGCGUGCCUAAUACAUGAAAGUCGCGAGAAGCGGGGACGGGAGAGUAACACGUGGAUAACCUCCUAUAAGACUGGGAUAACUUAGGGAAACCGGAGCUAAACCGGAUACUUAUAGAUGGAUCCGCGCUGCAUUAGCUAGUUGGAAAGGUAACGGCUAACUAAGGCAACGAUGCAUAGCCGACCUGCGAGGAUGAUCGGCCACACUGGAGCUGAUACACGUGCCAGACUCCGACGGGAGGCAGCAGUAGGUACUCUUCCGCAAUGGGCGAAAGCCUGACGGAGCAACGCCGCGUGAGUGAUGAAGGUCUUCUUUUCUUAAAGCUCUGUUAUUAGGGAAGCGGUGUCUAAUCAGAAAGCCACUUCUAACUACCUGCCAGCAGCCGCGGUAAUUC